AUUCUCCUUCUAAUAUUCGUUACUACAUAACCUUUGACAGGCGAUCUCUUUACCGCUCAUUCUGCGAAUUGUCACUUUUAUGAGACAGUCUUCCCGUCGUUAGGGGGAGAUAAGCACGUCAACGUUCCUAAAGAACAAUGCGAAUUAUCGUGGACGUCCCCACUAUGUCUCAUAUCGAUCCCAAUCUAGAUCGUCAGAGUUUAACCAGACAUUUCCUCUGAUCUAGUAAAAGUGACGAGAUCACAUAUACCAGCUGCAAAUGUGCCUGCAAAGAUGUGUACCAAAUGUACUUCGGACCUU
rnacentral:lncRNA from 1 species